rnacentral:rRNA from 1 species
AGUGAACGCUGGCGGUAGGCCUAACACAUGCAAGUCGAACGGCAGCACAGAGGAGCUUGCUCCUUGGGUGGCGAGUGGCGGACGGGUGAGGAAUACAUCGGAAUCUACUCUGUCGUGGGGGAUAACGUAGGGAAACUUACGCUAAUACCGCAUACGACCUACGGGUGAAAGCAGGGGGCCUUCGGGCCUUGCGCGAUUGAAUGAGCCGAUGUCGGAUUAGCUAGUUGGCGGGGUAAAGGCCCACCAAGGCGACGAUCCGAAGCUGGUCUGGGAGGAUGAUCAGACACACUGGAACUGAGACACGGUGCAGGCUCCUACGGGAGGCAGCAGUGGGGAAUAUUGGACAAUGGGCGCAAGCCUGAUCCAGCCAUACCGCGUGGGUGAAGAAGGCCUUCGGGUUGUAAAGCCCUUGUGUUGGGAAAGAAAUCCAGCUGGCUAAUACCCGGUUGGGAUGACGGUACCCAAAGAAUAAGCACCGGCUAACUUCGUGCCAGCCGCCGCGGUAA